UACGUAGGGUGCAAGCGUUGUCCGGAAUUAUUGGGCGUAAAGAGCUCGUAGGCGGUCUGUUGCGUCGGCUGUGAAAACCCGGGGCUCAACCCCGGGCCUGCAGCCGAUACGGGCAGACUAGAGUUCGGCAGGGGAGACUGGAAUUCCUGGUGUAGCGGUGAAAUGCGCAGAUAUCAGGAGGAACACCGGUGGCGAAGGCGGGUCUCUGGGCCAUUACUGACACUGAGAAGCGAAAGCAUGGGGAGCGAACAGG
rnacentral:rRNA from 1 species